rnacentral:rRNA from 1 species
GACAGAGGGGGCAAGCGUUGCUCGGAAUUACUGGGCGUAAAGGGCGCGUAGGCGGUUUGUCGCGUCUGCCGUGAAAGUCCGGGGCUCAACUCCGGAUCUGCGGUGGGUACGGGCAGACUAGAGUGAUGUAGGGGAGACUGGAAUUCCUGGUGUAGCGGUGAAAUGCGCAGAUAUCAGGAGGAACACCGGUGGCGAAGGCGGCUUGCUGGGCCUUACCUGACGCUGAGGAGCGAAAGCGUGGGGAGCGAACAGG